AUUGAACGCUGGCGGCAGGCCUAACACAUGCAAGUCGAACGAGUGGCGGACGGGUGAGUAAUGUCUGGGAAAGUGCCCGAUGGAGGGGGAUAACAAUGAGAAACGGUCGCUAAUACCGCAUACCAUCGGAUGUGCCCAGAUGGGAUGAGCUAGUAGGUGGGGUAACGGCUCACCUAGGCGACGAUCCCUAGCUGGUCUGAGAGGAUGACCAGCCACACUGGAACUGAGACACGGUCCAGACUCCUACGGGAGGCAGCAUUGGGGAAUAUUGCACAAUGGGCGCAAGCCUUAUGCAGCCAUGCCGCGUGUAUGAAGAAGGCCUUCGGGUUGUAAAGUACUUUCAGCGAGGAGGCGUUACUCGCAGAAGAAGCACCGGCUAACUCCGUGCCAGCAGCCGCGGUAAUUC
rnacentral:rRNA from 1 species